GACGAACCGUGCGAACGUUAUUCGGAAUCAUUGGGCUUAAAGCGCGUGUAGGCGGAUGGGAACGUCGAUGUUGAAAGCCCCCGGCUCAACCGGGGAACUGGCGUCGAAACGACCCGUCUGGAGGGGCAUAGGGGGAGCUGGAACUUCCGGUGGAGCGGUGAAAUGCGUAGAUAUCGGGAGGAACACCAGUGGCGAAGGCGACUACCUGGCCUGUUCUUGACGCUGAGGCGCGAAAGCUAGGGGAGCAAACGGG
rnacentral:rRNA from 1 species